AUUGAACGCUGGCGGCAGGCCUAACACAUGCAAGUCGAGCGAGCGGCGGACGGGUGAGUCAUGUAUGGGGAUCUGCCCGAUAGAGGGGGAUAACUACUGGAAACGGUAGCUAAUACCGCAUACCAUCAGAUGAACCCAUAUGGGAUUAGCUUGUAGGUGAGGUAACGCCUCACCUAGGCGAAGAUCCCUAGCUGGUCUGAGAGGAUGAUCGGCCAAACGGGGACGGAGACACGGCCCAGACUCCUACGGGAGGCAGCAGUGGGGAAUAUUGCACAAGGGGCGCAGGCCGGAUGCAGCCAUGCCGCGUGGAUGAAGAAGGCGUUCGGGUUGUAAAGUACUUUCAGUCGGGAGGCGUUACCGACAGAAGAAGCACCGGCUAACUCCGUGCCAGCAGCCGCGGUAAUAC
rnacentral:rRNA from 1 species